CAUAACAGAAUUAAUGAAACAUCAAAACAGCAUAAAAUAAAAAUAUAAAACAAGACUGAAUUGAUCACAGCCUUAGACGAAUCCUAAAUCAAUACUAAUUGUUAUAUUAAUCGACUCGACCUUAAUGAUACUUAAGAUAAGAGAACAAAGCAACAACAUAAACAAAAAAACAAGAGAGGGAAGGCCAACGCAGUGAUGAGCGCAACUGAGAAGAACGAUGAGAUGAAGUAAACAAAAACAAAAAUAGGGCAAAGAAAAGAAACGAGGUGAAAUACCUAACAAAGAAAGCAAAUGGCUGACUUGAAUGAACUCCGGUGUCUUCGAUUUGACUUGAAUCAAAUAUUAACCGGGUAUUCUGAACGAAAACACAUGGCCAAUACUCGUUUCGAGCCCUAUCGCUCAAAGGAAGCUGAUAAGUUUGGCGAAUUUGUUCUUCCUCACUCUUAGACUCAAACAGACCGAUUAGGAGAGGGUUUGGGAAAAAAUGAUGAAGGAUUAGGGUUGAGGGAAGGAUGAUGGUCGCAUGGAUGAGAUUUGGGGGUGAUUGAAGCUUUUAUCUGAUGAAAAUAGCGGAACAGGGAUGGCUAGGGUUUGGCAUAAUGAGGCAGAUGAGAGAGAUGGGGAGGGGGGAGGGGUCUGUUUGGUUUUAGGUUAACAGGUAAUUCAGACAGUUUUAAUCAAAAUGAGGAUGUGUUCUAGUCCGUCCCAUUAUAUGGGAUUAAUGGGUCAGAUCACAUGGAGGAUAAAUUGUGUCGUUUUAGAAGGGGGAAGGGCUGGACCGGGUUAGGAGAUAUUUGGUCCUGGGCGGGUGGAAAUGAUUUGGGCCAUACGAAAUAAAUUGAAAUUGGCCCAAUUAGGUUAGCCCUUUUUAUGUGUUUUCCUUUUUCUUUGUUCAUUUGUUUUC
rnacentral:lncRNA from 1 species